rnacentral:rRNA from 1 species
UACGUAGGGUGCGAGCGUUAAUCGGAAUUACUGGGCGUAAAGCGCGUGUAGGCGGCCCUGCAAGUCGGAUGUGAAAUCCCACGGCUCAACCGUGGAAGUGCAUUCGAAACUGCAGGGCUAGAGUCCUGGAGAGGAAGGUGGAAUGCUUGGUGUAGAGGUGAAAUUCGUAGAUAUCAAGCGGAACACCGGUGGCGAAGGCGGCCUUCUGGACAGUGACUGACGCUGAGACGCGAAAGCGUGGGGAGCAAACAGG